rnacentral:rRNA from 1 species
UACGUAGGAGGCAAGCGUUAUCCGGAAUUAUUGGGCGUAAAGCGUCCGUAGAUGGUUUUGUCAGUCUGCUGUCAAAGCACAGGGCUUAACCCUGUAAAGGCAGUGGAAACUACAAGACUAGAGUGCAGUAGGGGCAGAGGGAAUUCCCAGUGUAGCGGUGAAAUGCGUAGAGAUUGGGAAGAACACCCGUGGCGAAAGCGCUCUGCUGGACUGCAACUGACAUUGAGGGACGAAAGCUAGGGGAGCGAAUGGG